CCUACCACAGAAUAUGUUCGUUAAGAGUAAAUCCCCUGCGGAUACUGUCUGUGAACGGAAAUACGAACUUCAAAGCUUGAACCAGGAGGGCAUUUUGUCCAUACCAUAUGAUGGCAUGUCGUUGUAGCUGCAGUGCAUGUAACCUGCAUAUCAUACACGUUUAACAGUGUAGAAACGAGGGAAAACAUGGGACUGGUGAAUUUGUUAUCAAUUCAAAAGCUGUACAUGGAAUGAUACAUGCAGGAAUUUGUGCCACACAUUUCAACAAUUUCCUUAAUGGAUUGAAUGUACUUUCUGUGAAUUCACAGCCAUACUUAAAGAAAAAGGAGAAUGAAACUGGAAAGAAAAUAUUUGCAGUUGCAAAAGAAUCCUGAAAAUAAAUUCAAAAGAAGAAACAGUUUUAAACAUGGUUAAUUUAAUGAAUAAUUGGAAGGUCUCAUUGUCAUCAUUUAACAGCAGGUUAUUAGCAGCAGUAUUUCAGAAAAAUGAAGGAUAGCUGUCAAUGGUAAAUGCAGCAUCAGAAUAUUCCCUAGGAAAGUUUACCCAGAGAGUUUGGGAAAGUAUAAAUAAGAAAUUAGAGUGGGAAACAGAUAACCAGAAAACAAAGAUUUCAAAAGAAAAGAAUUGCCACUAAUAGUAAUAUGAUAUAUCUGACUGGGAGCAACAUGUACUAUUCAAUAUGGAAGGUUUGACAAUUUUGACUGAGAACAAAGUGAACUCUAAUAAUGCUAUGACUAUCAAUCAAUACUUGACUGAAACAGAGGAGUAAACUAUUUACAUAUUUGUAAAUAUAACAGUUAUAUGUUUGCUUGAUUAUUGAGGCAUUCAAAAUAAAGGAAGUUGAAAAACCUUUGAAAAAGUUAUAAUUUCAGAAUUGUUUGGUUAUGUUACUAUGACAACUGAAAUAUAUAAUGUAUUGUCAUUAUGCUUCAUCAACUUAAAUCAUUUAUUGAGGAAAAGGUGACAAAGUCUUUUUAUCCAUUUACUUGCAUGACUGUUAUCUAUGAAUCGAUAAUUUAAAAAAAAUAAAAUAUUUGGUGAUUUUUGCUAUUCUGACUAAUUUAUUUUGCUCAUUAAUACCACAGUAAUGCUAAAACAAGCUGCAUUAUAAUGUAUCAUAGUAUUUGUUUACAUUUACAUAGAAGCCAUGUGUUGUUGCUCUAAAAUCAUGGGAUUUGAUCUUCUAUUGUCUGUUGGGUUGUAACUCUUGCACAUCAGAACAAUGCAAAAACUUGAAUUUUCCAACUUCAUGUCCUGUUGCCAUGGUAACCGUUGUUCAUAGAAACAAAAUAAAUGUUCUCAUUUC